AAAGAACUACAUGGGAUAAUGAACAACAAAUGAAUAGACUCAAAAGAACAUUCACAGCUCCAGACUUAAUUCUUGAAGAAUAAUUGGGAAUGUUAACUCCAGAAAGUAAAAUGAAAGAUAAAGUAGUUGACAGAUCCAGGAGAAGAAAAUGGCACACAGAACCUCCCUCCUCCUAAGCUCAUCUUUCCCAAAGGUCUUCCCAUGAGAAUCUGAAUUCUUGAUGAGAGACCACAGUGCCAUUUUUUAUGGAUUCUUCCAUAUCUGAUAGAUGUCAUUUCAUUUAUGUGGAUGUUUUCACUAGUGCUGAGGACUCCAAGCAUCUAUCAAUUAACAAGCAUUUAUUAGGUCCCUCAAGAGGUCAAACUGAUUUGCUUAGAGUCAGAAUAUGUAUCAGCUGCAGAAUUUGGGCCCAAAUAAUUCUGCCUUCUGAAAGUAACCUUUUUCUCCUCGAGAUCCCACUGUUCCUGGUUAUGACAACAGCAACAAUUAUAUGAAUAACUUGUACAUCAUGGUUGAAUGCCAAGUAAGUUCCUUUUACAGAAGAAGAACUGAGGCAAACAGGGUUAUGUGCCUUAUUUAGGGUCACACAUCUGAGGCCAGAUUUGAACUUGAAAAGAUGUGUCUUCCUGACUUCGUGGCUGGCAUGCUAUUGUGGCGGAGAGAAAAAGAAGUCUGCAGAAAAGGCUGGAAAAGCAAAGACUCCAGAGGUGUCACUCAAGGAGAACAUUCUAAUUAGAAUGGUGACCAGAAAAGACUGUUGAGAAGGAUCAGAACAAAUUGAAAUCUGGCUCUCUUUGCUUUGAGGCAGAAAGGAAGAAGGGGGUCUCUUGGUUUGGGGAUGGAAAGAAAGAAGGACAAAGUCCAGCUUUCUCU
rnacentral:lncRNA from 1 species